AUGAGGACCCUAUGUCGGAACUGCCGCAGGAUUGGCGACCCCGCAACAGUUAAGGAGCUUCGCGAUCUUGUGGAGGCGUGUGCGCCGAUGGUCCUUUGCAUCGUGGAGACACAGCUUGCGAAGUACCGGGUGGAGGGCUUGGCGGGUAGCUUAGGUUUUUCGAGUAGUUUUGGAGUAGCUAGUAGUGGUAGAAGUGGUGGUUUAUGCUUGUUUUGGAAGAACCCUGUUGAUAUUGAAAUAAAGAGUUUUUCACAGUACCAUAUUGAUUCAGUUGUGAGUGAGAAGAGCAAGACACCAUGGCGUCUUUCGUGUUUCUAUGGUGCAACAAAUCGAAGUAUGAGAUAUAAAACUUGGGAUACGAUGAAGUUUCUGCGUGGCGAAAGUACUCUACCAUGGGUCUGUAUGGGUGACUUCAAUGAAAUUUUGCGCCUGGAGGAACAAAUGGGACCCAAUGAGCGCGACAGUGCGCAAAUUGUAGAAUUCAGAGAAGCGGUGGAUGUAUGUGAGUUGGCGGAUCUUGGAACAAGGGGCUGGGCUGGACAUUUGAAAAAAGAAUCGUGGGAGGAGAUUACUGUCGGGUGCGUCUGGAUCGGGCUCUAG
rnacentral:rRNA from 1 species